UACGGGAGGGACAAGCGUUAUUCAUCAUGAUUGGGCGUAAAGGGUUCGUAGGCGAUGAAACAAGGUCACUAGGAAAGAACAAAAGUAUCUUUUGUUGAACAGUGACGUUAGAUCAGAUAAUGAGAUGAUAAAGGUGGGCACAAUUACUAAUGUAAAGGUAAAAUAUUUUGAUAUUAGUACGAAUACCAAUGGCGAAGGCAGCUUUCUUUGGAAUCUAACGCUGAGGCACGAAAGCAUGGGAAUCA
rnacentral:rRNA from 1 species